rnacentral:rRNA from 1 species
UACAGAGGUGGCAAGCGUUGUUCGGAAUUACUGGGCGUAAAGAGCUCGUAGGUGGUUUGUCGCGUUGUUCGUGAAAACUCACAGCUCAACUGUGGGCGUGCGGGCGAUACGGGCAGACUGGAGUACUGCAGGGGAGACUGGAAUUCCUGGUGUAGCGGUGAAAUGCGCAGAUAUCAGGAGGAACACCGGUGGCGAAGGCGGGUCUCUGG